rnacentral:tRNA from 1 species
GAGAAAGACAUAGUGGUUAUGGGAUUGGCUUGAAACCAGUUUUUGGGGGUUCGAAUCCUUCCUUUCUUA